CUCCUUCUGUCUUUUAUUUUUUUAUUAUUUCUCUCUCUCUCUCUCUCUCACUCUCUUUCCCUUUCACGUCUUUCUUCCUCUCCUCUUACCCAGAACUUCAAGCUUCCUCUCUUCAAGUUUCUUUUCUCUUCUUGAAUAUUAGGAACAUGGAUCAAAAUUUUUCAGAUUCAUCUUCAAAUGCUGCAGAUGAGGAAUUUUGGAAUCUUGCCAAUUCAUCAUCAGACGAAGAAUUGAUGAAUCUGCAGAUUAUUGAUCUACAAGAGAAUGGAAGAACCUUUCUCCGUGGAUUUGAAGACUGGCAAUGGAUUUGAAGCCAUUUCUCAUCAGUUUGGUCCGCCUGAUGUGGUAGUAAACUGUGCUACACUUUCGGUUCCUCGUGCCUGUGCAAUGGAUCCUGCUGCAGCUAUGUCAGUUAAUGUGCCAUCUUCUCUUGUUAAUUGAUUAUCGAGCAUAGAAGAGAGUAAUUAUCUUCUGAUCCAUUUGUCAACGGAUCAAGAUGCGUUAAAGCAUGUUUCUAAGGAGCUAUGUCAAUCUCCCAUGGCCUCCCUCUUGCUGUAUAACGUUAAGAACAGCAAUAAUCACUACAAGUUGAUUGGAUUGUAUUUCUGGUACUAUAGAACAAGUUGUUUCUGAACAAGUUCAUUUUGAUCUCUAGUCUCAUCGACCUUGAUUGGAUUGUAUGGAUGGUAUCCUUAUUCUGUUUUCUGUCCAAAACGCAGAACAAUUCUCUCAGUCUUUUCAUAUCUCUCAGCUAAAGCAAAUUCAAGAAUCUCCCUUGUUCAAAGGAUAAAUAAAAGAUGGGGGAGAUUGUUGUGGGAAUUCUUGAUAGAAUAGAAACGUGCAGCAUAAGUCUGUAUGGGAGAUUGCAAAGCCUUCUAGUUCUUUUAGUUUGUAUCAGUUCGUUUGGUUUCCAGUGAAAUAGAUAUGUUUUCAUCUGUUUAGGUUUCCUGCUAUGUAUUCCUUCAUCUCAAAUUCUCAUAAUCUCAAUUGCAUCUCUCUUACUGUAAA